rnacentral:misc_RNA from 1 species
CGCACGACCAGAAAACCCUAAUUUGAGCUCUUCGAUCAAAGAAUGAGAACUAAAAAACGAAGCACCAGGCCCCCCUUCUCGAAAUCGUCUCGCGGAUCAUUCUCUUCUACUACCACUAGGCGACUUCCUUCACCUAUUCCGGACUCAAAUGCAGAAGAUAGUACUGACUUGAUGGAACUCGAACAAACAAGCGAGGGCGAUGGUGAUGUUCAGGGUG